GAUGAACGCUGGCGGCGUGCCUAAUACAUGCAAGUCGAGCGAACAGAUAAGGAGCUUGCUCCUUUGACGUUAGCGGCGGACGGGUGAGUAACACGUGGGUAACCUACCUAUAAGACUGGAAUAACUCCGGGAAACCGGGGCUAAUGCCGGAUAACAUUUAGAACCGCAUGGUUCUAAAGUGAAAGAUGGUUUUGCUGUCACUUAUAGAUGGACCCGCGCCGUAUUAGCUAGUUGGUAAGGUAACGGCUUACCAAGGCAACGAUACGUAGCCGACCUGAGAGGGUGAUCGGCCACACUGGAACUGAGACACGGUCCAGACUCCUACGGGAGGCAGCAGUAGGGAAUCUUCCGCAAUGGGCGAAAGCCUGACGGAGCAACGCCGCGUGAGUGAUGAAGGUCUUCGGAUCGUAAAACUCUGUUAUUAGGGAAGAACAAAUGUGUAAGUAACUGUGCACGUCUUGACGGUACCUAAUCAGAAAGCCACGGCUAACUACGUG
rnacentral:rRNA from 1 species